rnacentral:rRNA from 1 species
CACCGCGGUUAUACGAGAGGCCCAAAUUGAUGCAAUACGGCGUAGAGUGUGAUUAGAGACAAAAACAAACUAAAGCCAAACACCCCCUAUACUGUCAUACGCCAUGGGGAGUAAGAAGCCCAACAACGAAAGUGGCUUUAAACAUCUUGAACUCACGACAGCUAAGGCA